AAAGUACUUUCAGCAGUGAGGUAAGGUGGGUAUGUUAAUAGCAUAUUCAUUUGACGUUAGCUGCAGAAGAAGCACCGGGCUAACUCCGUGCCAGCAGCCGCGGUAAUACGGAGGGUGCGAGCGUUAAUCGGAAUUACUGGGCGUAAAGCGCAUGCAGGUGGUUUGUUAAGUCAGAUGUGAAAGCCCGGGGCUCAACCUCGGAAUUGCAUUUGAAACUGGCAAACUAGAGUACUGUAGAGGGGGUAGAAUUUCAGGUGUAGCGGUGAAAUGCGUAGAGAUCUGAAGGAAUACCGGUGGCGAAGGCGGCCCCCUGGACAGAUACUGACACUCAGAUGCGAAAGCGUGGGGAGCAAACAGGAUUAGAUACCCUGGUAG
rnacentral:rRNA from 1 species